ACGACGCUGGCGGCGUGCCUAACACAUGCAAGUCGAACGGUAACUUUUUAAGGUAUUUCUUCGGAAUGAAUUUGAUUAAGUUUAGUGGCGGACGGGUGAGUAACGCGUGAGUAACCUGCCUCUAAGAGGGGAAUAACAUUCUGAAAAGAAUGCUAAUACCGCAUAAUAUAUAUUUAUCGCAUGGUAGAUAUAUCAAAGAUUUAUCGCUUAGAGAUGGACUCGCGUCCGAUUAGUUAGUUGGUGAGGUAACGGCUCACCAAGACCGCGAUCGGUAGCCGGACUGAGAGGUUGAACGGCCACAUUGGGACUGAGACACGGCCCAGACUCCUACGGGAGGCAGCAGUGGGGGAUAUUGCGCAAUGGGGGAAACCCUGACGCAGCAACGCCGCGUGAAGGAUGAAGGUCUUCGGAUUGUAAACUUCUUUUAUUAAGGACGAAGAAAGUGACGGUACUUAAUGAAUAAGCUCCGGCUAACUACGUG
rnacentral:rRNA from 1 species